rnacentral:rRNA from 1 species
UACGUAGGGGGCAAGCGUUGUCCGGAUUCAUUGGGCGUAAAGCGCGUGUAGGCGGUCCGGUAAGUCCGCUGUGAAAGUCGGGGGCUCAACCCUCGGAUGCCGGUGGAUACUGUCGGGCUUGAGUACGGAAGAGGCGAGUGGAAUUCCUGGUGUAGCGGUGAAAUGCGCAGAUAUCAGGAGGAACACCAAUUGCGAAGGCAGCUCGCUGGGACGUUACUGACGCUGAGACGCGAAAGCGUGGGGAGCAAACAGG